rnacentral:lncRNA from 1 species
AUUAGCUUUGUCACUUCGUUCACCAUCGCCUGUGCUACGUCAGGCCCCAAAGCUCUAUCUCUUAAUCUUCGUUCACCAUCGCAUGUGCUACGUCACUUUGUUCACCAAAUAGGAUGACUACAGCAGUAAGCUCCGCAAAUAGCAUUAUUCCAGCACAAAAUAGAAAGUGAGCUCAACUUCCACUUACUUAUGCUUCCAAUUAUUUGUUAAUUGGCUUAACUUAAGUAAUUACAUGUAGGCUGCCUUUGUUUACUUUUAUAUGAUUAGGGAAUAAGAUUAUAUGAUAUAAGAUUAAGAGAGAUUGGAGUUCUGCACUAUGUUGUAUUUCAAAAAAAUUAGUUAAAAAGAAAUGUGAAGUUACUCAUAUGUAACUUUUUCUGCAAACGUAAAUUAGAAAACUUAAUUUUCUUUUACAUUAGAUAAAAAUUAUUUUAAAGUAAUCCUCGGCAACCCUUAAUUUCCUGACUAAUGAUUGUCAAUUUGUCGUGUUUCCAUCAUAUGGACAAUUGGAUAAUUGAAUUAAGUCCCAGCAAGAUUAGUACAUGAUUGAAUUAUUGAAAAUGUUGAAAGAAAAAUGGGAUUUGGUACUUCUGAUAUUUGAGCAAGCAGAAACUGAAGAAAGCAGCAAGGCAAAUUCAUUUAGUCUGUCUGAUCAGACAGCUCUUCGAGAAAUCAAAAUUUUGAAUCUUCAAUGACGGAAGGUUGCUUCUAUUCCCCCCCCCCCCCCCCCCCUCUCUGUGCGGAAUUACAUCCAUUAGUACUUGAGUUUCUAAUGAGUGUAUAUAGACGAUGGUAAGGAAGUUAAAAACAAGUGAUAAUGCAUGCAUAUAAAUUUCCUACGUCAUCGAAACCCUGAAUUUUACAAUUCUUCAAAGUUGUCCAUGGUUACUUUUAAGAGCUAAUCUUUGCUUGAUGCAAAUAUACCAAGUCUUGUUAUAUCAUCGAGCUGUUUAUCGUGUGUUGUAGAUUUUAUUUUUGCAAGUGUACGGAUCGUAACAAGUAGUAAAUAGUUCAGAUUGUCGAUCCCACGAGGACUACAUUCUAGCACUUAAUUCAAAUUUUCUUUAACCACUAUUUGAUGAGAUAAAAACUCGUAAAAUUUGAGAUUUAAAUAAAAAUACGAGAAAAUAAGUGAAUGCACGAUUAGUUGGAAAAUCAAAUAAUGAAUGGACGUUAGGCAGAAUAAUUUCACAUAUUGGUCACCUUUACAUCUUAAAUCAAAAUUCACAUCUAAUGUAGUGUUAGGUCGAAUUCUUCUAUUGUAUUCAAUUUACCCUUCUCGAGUUCUCAUUGAGUCUAUUUAACUAAUUAAAUUACAUAUCUCUAUGCAAAUCCAACUUAGUUAAACGAGUUCUUUGUCCUAGGAAUUCAAUUAUGAUCACAAUAAUUGGUAUAUGUAUCUCUACUCGUUAUACCAAUUUACCGAAUUUUACUAUAUGGCCUAAAUCUUAAACCCAUAUUUUUAUUCAUAAAGGAUUUACAAAAUUCAUCAAAUUAGUGAUCUAAUAAUUUAAUGCAUCCAAUCCAUAGCAAAAUCAACACAUCUUAAUAAAAAAAUAUAAAGGAUCUCAACUGGUUUCAUUAUUCACCAUAACAAUGAUUUAGCUAGUCAUAAUGUAAAAAAAGAAAAUUCAUAAAUUGUCAUAGAAUACAUCAUCAGAUUUUGUAUUAAAGGUGUAGAAGAAAAAAUAGAUCUUGCCCCAAGAAUUUCUUCCUUUUCCAAUCGAUGCUUUAUACCUUGAAUUUCUUGAUGUUUUCUCCCUUGAAUUUCUCCUUCGGUUCUCCAAUUGUGUUCUAUUGUCUCUCAAUGUGUGAAUACUCCUCAAUUCUCUUUUCUAGGGUUGUAUUUAUGACUUAUUCAAGCCUUAGAAGAGUUUUAUUGAGUUGGGCUUUUAAAAAGAUGAAUUUCACUUCAAAACCCUAUUUGACAGCAGUGAGGUGCUUAGACACUGCAAUUGGGCCCCUGAGCAUUGAAUUUCAAAGAAAAAUCAGAAACAUAGUGCUUGGGUGUUGUCAUCAGCUUUGAUUGCACUACACAACAUUCAAUCUUUUUGCCAUAACAAUUUUUUUGAUAUCCGAUUGAGGCGAUUCAAGAUGCGUUGAAAAUCUAACUCAAAAGGCUACAACUUUUCUUUAGAUACCAUUUUCAAAUUCAAUCAUUUACCAUGUCAAAAAUGGGUAUAAAUAUGAGUAUGAAAACUGUGCAUAUAUUUUUUCGGUUGAAACUUGAUGUGUGAUCAUACUUUGAUUAUAUUUCAUCAUUUUGAUGUCUUUCUUUAUCCAAUCGACUCCGAGCACUCUUAAAUCUUCAUUGUGAGGUCUAACAUAACUUUUGAGUAUUUACAUUUUGGCCCCCCAAACUUUGGAUCUUACUCUUCUUUCGAGUUUCUUGUACCAUCAUUGAAUUUUACCUAUUUAACAUCAAAUGCAACAAUUUAGACCAUAAUUCAUCCAAGAAGUAACUAAAUAUCAUCGUUUUAAGGUCUUGAAUAAGUGUAUAAAAUACACGUAUCAAAUACCCCAAAACUUAAACAUUUGUUUGUCCUCAAAUAAAGCUAUCAUAUAAAUAACUAAGUACACACAAGCAUGCAAAAUAUAAUUAGUUCGACAAUCAAAGCUUUUUACCUCAGAAUUCGAGAUUUUGAUGUUUAUUCUACAAACACGCUUCAUGUCACAAUACAAAACAAAUAUCUACUCUUCCAAUGCAAACCCAAUGUGUGUGUGUGAAGAAUUAAGUAAUCCAUCAUGACUACACAAGUUGUUUCAACUCCCAGUCCUUUACAGUUAUAUAUCCUUACAUUUCUCGUGUGAUUCACACACCCCGAAAUUUAUUCUUUUUUUUUAUCAUUCCUAGUGUUUAAUAUAAGGUUGAAUAUUUCAUUGCUAUCCUCAUCCUUAGCUUCAUCUUUGAUUGCCUUCUAAAUUAUCCCUGUAGCGAGUUUUAGGCUGAUGACUCCAAAGUCAGAUGACUUUAAGGCACCAUGUUUUAAGAUACCCU